rnacentral:lncRNA from 1 species
CUUUGUUCUCGUAAGUCCUCGGGGUCUUCGAGGUCUUCCGGCCAACUCCGAGUAUUGUAUCUACCUGUCAACUAUCGUAGGAAACAAUCUCAGUAAGCCAUACAGCAAGCAGAGACCAAAGUGCUAAAUAAAUAGGAGUUUUAUUUUUCUUGGACCUCUCUGGUCAUAAGAAAAAUACCUAAAGCUUGCCAUAGGAGGUUUGGAUCGUUAGGAAAUUUUGACUGGAUGAAAGGAGGAAUAUGUGAUCCUUUAAUAAUCCUAUAUAAAAUAUUUUGGUAAAAAUAAGUGGAGGCACUCAUUAAACAGAGCAUGAUUUUAGAAAUAUUUAGGAAGUUGUUUCACUGGAUUUGUAGUUGAUAUGAAUAUACUAGGGAUUUUCUAAUAUUGGAUAAAUAGCAAAAUGGAGCUAUUUAUUUAUUGCAAGAGAAAUAUGCGAGCUAAAAAAUGUUGACCAUGGUUUCAAAAAUAGGGCAAGUUAUAGGAAGGAUCUAGAAAUUGGAAUGACUCCAAUUGGAGUUUAUUUGAAUGCUAUAGGAACUUACAAAGUGGGGCUUAAAGCAUACAAAUGGGCAUUUGAAUAUUAAUCCCACAUAAAUUCUUCUGGAAAAAUGUGCAAUGCACAUAAAUGGAUAGGUCUUGAUUUCAGGGACCUGCAGAAAUUUGAAUCAUCAAUUUUGGAGCUCAAAUGAUUAUUCUAUAGAUUUUUGAAAUUUCAAACAAAAACAAAAAGAAAAGAUGGGCUACCGGAGAGUCUAAAGCACGCUCAGGGCGUGAGGACGGAGCUGGGCCCCCUGGCAGC